AAUUUUACUUUCACAUUUUAUUAAUCAGGAUUGUUGCGUGUUUAGUAGUACACGUAAGAAAGAUAAAAAAAUGAUAAAAAGUUUGCAAAAAAAUAAAGUCAAGUAUCAAAGACAAAGAUCAGACCGAUAUAUUUAAUAUCCAUUUAGAACAGAUUUUUAAUAGAAAAUAAUAAUCUAUUAAUAUAUCAAGUGCAAAAAUGAUGGUGCAUUGACAUAUGAGCAUGCGCGGUCCUGUUUGUAGCUUAUUUAUUAUGUUGUUAAUUAUACAUAGUACAGUGCUGACACGCAACUAUAGACAUAAUAUGCACACAGUUUCUAUCAUAUUUAGUAUGCGUCGAAGGCUUGUCGAAGGUAGUUUGUCUUAAUGCUUCUUCGUCGAUUGAGUUGCAUCUCGUAAGUUUACUCUCAAAUUACGCAGAAUGUUUUUAUCCAACGUAUUUUUUUUUCUUUUUUUUCUCUUUUUUCUUUCUUUCUUUCUUUUUUUUUUUUUUUUUUUUUUUUUACAUUUUGCCAUUUCAAAUUGAUCACUUUCUUCAUCUAGUAUGUAGUUAAAAUACGAUCUUUAAAUUGAAUUACAUUCCUUCAUACAGACGGGCAUGUAGGUUGAUUUUAAUUUGAAUUGGAUUGUGGAUCGAAUCAGUUAUGAUUCGCAAGAAUAUGAACGAACUUAACGAUAACCGUCAAUAUAUUAUUGGUUUAUACAACUAUUCUUCAAAUAAAAAAACAUUAAAAAAUCGAUCUUUGAUCUUGCUUUAUAUACUAGUAGACAUCCUUAUAUAUUAUUAGAAAAACAGUCGCUGUUAAAUAAUAAAUCAAAUAUCUUUCUCAUGGUUUUGAUGUUUUUUUCGCAAAAUAUCAAGAGAUUAAGUUGAAAUAUAUCGAAGGUAUUGGAAUAAAUUUUUGUUAUGAUGACACAAACAAAAAUAAUGUCUUCUUUUUUAUGG